rfam:Emiliania huxleyi CCMP1516 EMIHTscaffold_28_Cont1397, whole genome shotgun sequence.
GGCUCGUUGGCGCAACGGCAGCGCGUUCGACUCCAGAUCGAAAGGUUGGAGGUUCGAAUCCUUCACGGGUCA